UACGUAGGGGGCAAGCGUUGUCCGGAAUCAUUGGGCGUAAAGCGCGUGUAGGCGGCUCGGUAAGUCCGCUCUGAAAGUCCAGGGCUCAACCCUGGGAUGCGGGUGGAUACUGCCGAGCUCGAGUCCGGAAGAGGCGAGUGGAAUUCCUGGUGUAGCGGUGAAAUGCGCAGAUAUCAGGAGGAACACCAAUGGCGAAGGCAGCUCGCUGGGACGUGACUGACGCUGAGACGCGAAAGCUAGGGGAGCAAACGGG
rnacentral:rRNA from 1 species